rnacentral:sRNA from 1 species
GCAGGGUGAAGUGAUGCACACCUGUAAUCCCAGUAGCUUGGGAGGCUGAGGCAGGAGGAUAGUGAGUUCAAAGCCAGCCUCAGGAACUCAGCAAGACUUUGUCUCUA